rnacentral:rRNA from 1 species
UACGGGGGGGGCAAGCGUUGUUCGGAAUUACUGGGCGUAAAGGGUUCGUAGGUGGCCAACUCAGUCAGACGUGAAAUCCCUCAGCUCAACUUGGGGAACUGCGUCUGAUACUGGAUGGCUCGAGUGCAGGAGAGGAACGCGGAAUUCCAGGUGUAGCGGUGAAAUGCGUAGAUAUCUGGAGGAACACCGGUGGCGAAGGCGGCGUUCUGGACUGCAACUGACACUGAGGAACGAAAGCCAGGGGAGCAAACGGG